rnacentral:rRNA from 1 species
GUGUUCGUUAUUAAGGGCGCAUGGUGGAUGCCUUGGCAUGCUGAGCCGAUGAAGGACGUGAAAGGCUGCGUUAAGCCUCGGGGAGUUGUCAAUUGAGCGUUGAUCCGAGGAUGUCCGAAUGGGGAAACCUGGCCCUGGUUAUGUGGGGUUACCCUUCAGUGAAUUCAUAGCUGUUGUGGGGGUUUACGCGGGGAAGUGAAACAUCUCAGUACCCGUAGGAGGAGAAAAUAAUAAUGAUUCUGCUAGUAGUGGCGAACGAACGUGGAUGAGGCUAAACCGUGUGCAUGUGAUACCUGGUAGGGGUUGUGUGUGCGGUGUUGUGGGCCCCAAUUGGCGGUGACUACCAUCAUCGUGCUCGUGUGUUGUUGUUAGGUGAAGUGGUUUGGAAUGGCCUGCCGGAGAAGGUGAGAGUCCUGUAGUUGAAGACAAUGGCAUGUGGGUUGUUGGGUUGCCCGAGUAGCAGCGGGCUCGUGGAAUCUGCUGUGAAUCUGCCGGGACCACCCGGUAAGCCUAAAUACUCAGUGUGACCGAUAGUGUAUGAGUACCGUGAGGGAAUGGUGAAAAGUACCCCGGGAGGGGAGUGAAAUAGUUCCUGAAACCAUGUGCUUACAAUCCGUCAGAGCACCGUGUGUGUGUGUGAUGGCGUGCCUUUUGAAGAAUGAGCCUGCGAGUCAGCGGCAUGUCGCGAGGUUAACCCGUGUGGGGUAGCCGUAGGGAAACCGAAUCCUAAUGGGGUGUAUAGUGGCAUGUCCUGGACCCGAAGCGGGGUGAUCUACCCAUGGCCAGUGUGAAGCAGCUGUAAGAGGUUGUGGAGGCGCGAACCCACGUAGGUUGAAAACUGCGGGGAUGAGCUGUGGGUAGGGGUGAAAGGCCAAUCAAACUCCGUGAUAGCUGGUUCUCCCCGAAAUGCAUUUAGGUGCAGCGUCGUAUUAUAGCUUGGUGGAGGUAGAGCGACUGGUUGGUUGAGCGGGACUACAAUCUUAGCAAUGUCAGCCAAACUCCGAAUGCCACUAAUUGUGUUGUACGGCAGUGAGACUGUGGGGGAUAAGCUUCAUAGUCGAGAGGGAAACAGCCCAGAUCGCCGGUUAAGGCCCCUAAGGGUGUACUAAGUGGAAAAGGAUGUGGGAUCGCGAAGACAGCCAGGAGGUUGGCUUAGAAGCAGCCAUCCUUGAAAGAGUGCGUAAUAGCUCACUGGUCGAGUGGUUCUGCGCCGACAAUGUAGUGGGGCUCAAGUACACCGCCGAAGCCGCGGCAAACAUUUUGUUUGGGUAGGGGAGCGUCGUGCAUGGGUGGAAGCGUUACCGUAAGGAGGCGUGGACUGUGUGCGAGUGAGAAUGCAGGCAUGAGUAACGAAUUGAUAGGUGAGAAUCCUAUCCGCCGGAUGACUAAGGGUUCCUGGGUCAAGUUCGUCUUCCCAGGGUGAGUCGGGACCUAAGGCGAGGCCGACAGGCGUAGUCGAUGGAUAACCAGUUGAUAUUCUGGUACCCGUACAUGCGCGCCCAUGAUAAAGCACUGAUACUAACCACCGCGGAUGCACUGCUAGUCUUCUUUGAAGAUUGGUGGUGUUGAUGUCGUGGGGCCUGAUGUGUGGUUCAAGUGAUGGGGUGACGCAGUGAGGUAGCCACGCCACUUAUUGGAUUGGUGGUGUAAGCGUGUAGAUCGUGUGGUAGGUAAAUCCGCCACACAUAUGGUUGAGACGUGAUGCGUAGACCCAAUGGGGUUGAUGGUGGUGAUCCUGUACUGUCGAGAAAAGCCUCUAGCGAUGUGUGUGUAUGGCCCGUACCCUAAACCGACACAGGUAGUCAGGUUGAAAAUACUAAGGCGUUCGGGUGAACUGUGGUUAAGGAAUUCGGCAAAAUGCCCCCGUAACUUCGGGAGAAGGGGGGCC